rnacentral:rRNA from 1 species
GACGAACGCUGGCGGCGUGCUUAACACAUGCAAGUCGAACGGAAAGGCCCUGCUUUUGUGGGGUGCUCGAGUGGCGAACGGGUGAGUAACACGUGAGUAACCUGCCCUUGACUUUGGGAUAACUUCAGGAAACUGGGGCUAAUACCGGAUAGGAGCUCCUGCUGCAUGGUGGGGGUUGGAAAGUUUCGGCGGUUGGGGAUGGACUCGCGGCUUAUCAGCUUGUUGGUGGGGUAGUGGCUUACCAAGGCUUUGAGGGGUAGCCGGCCUGAGAGGGUGACCGGCCACAUUGGGACUGAGAUACGGACCAGACUCCUACGGGCGGCAGCAGUGGGGAAUAUUGCACAAUGGGCGGAAGCCUGAUGCAGCAACGCCGCGUGCGGGAUGACGGCCUUCGGGUUGUAAACCGCUUUCGCCUGUGACGAAGCGUGAGUGACGGUAAUGGGUAAAGAAGCACCGGCUAACUACGUG